GUUAGGAUGGCCGAGAAGGCGGCGGAUUGUAAACCCGUUUACGGGGCCAGCUAGCCCCUCCAGCCA
rnacentral:tRNA from 1 species